UACGUAGGGUGCGAGCGUUAAUCGGAAUUACUGGGCGUAAAGUGUGCGCAGGCGGCUCCGCAAGUCGAGUGUGAAAUCCCCGAGCUUAACUUGGGAAUUGCGCUCGAAACUACGGAGCUGGAGUGUGGCAGAGGAAGGUGGAAUUCCACGUGUAGCGGUGAAAUGCGCAGAUAUCUGGAGGAAUACCGGUGGCGAAGGCGGCAUCCUGGACCGGCAUUGACGCUGAAGCGCGAAAGCUAGGGGAGCAAACGGG
rnacentral:rRNA from 1 species